rnacentral:misc_RNA from 1 species
AACGCACAUUGCGCUCCUUGGUAUUCCGGGGAGCAUGCCUGUUUGAGAAUCAGUAAAAUUCAUCGACAGCGGUUGCUGUGUUGUUAAGACACGGUGACGGCCGUCGGAUAUGAGCCUUUUGUGCCUGGCACAAUGGCUUGAAAUUGAAUGUCAAGAAACUCUGGGACACCAGUCUGGUUUCAAGUGCAUGAGAGGUGUGUAUUCAUUUUGAAACGUUUGAAUCGCCGGAUCGGUUAAAGACCCAUUGCUUCGUGACCCAACCAUCAAUCGGAGGUGCGGGGAGGAAUCCCAACGCUUCUGAACACUUGGUCUCAAAUCAGGUAGGAAAACCCGCUGAACUUAA